rnacentral:rRNA from 1 species
CCUACGGGAGGCAGCAGUGGGGAAUAUUGGACAAUGGGCGCAAGCCUGAUCCAGCCAUGCCGCGUGUGUGAAGAAGGCCUUAGGGUUGUAAAGCACUUUCAGGAGUGAAGAAAGGCGUUGGGUGAAUAAUCUGACGUUUUGACGUUAGCUCCAGAAGAAGCACCGGCCAACUCCGUGCCAGCAGCCGCGGUAAUAC